CCAGUUGGCUGGGCAGCCGCGCUUUAUCAAUGCCGAAAGGCGAUAGGGUGAGGAAAGUCCGGGCUCCACGGAAACACGGUGCCGGAUAACGUCCGGCGAGGGCGACCUCAGGGAAAGUGCCACAGAAAGCAAACCGCCUGUCAUGACAGGUAAGGGUGAAAGGGUGGGGUAAGAGCCCACCGCAUCUCCGGCAACGGAAAUGGCACGGUAAACCCCACCGGGAGCAAGACCGAAUAGGGAUGACGUGGCAGGCCGAAAGGCCUUCCGGCCGGUUUCCAGGCCAGUCAUCCGGGUGGGUUGCGCGAGGCAGCGUGCGAACGCUGUCCCAGAGGAAUGGCUGCCACGUUCCGGUUCACGCCGGAGCCAUACAGAACCCGGCUUACAGGCCAACUGGCGAU
rnacentral:RNase_P_RNA from 1 species